rnacentral:rRNA from 1 species
UUCUUUAUGGUUUUUGUAUAAAGUAAUUUCUGCCCACUGAUUAAUUUAUUUAAAUGGCUGCAGUAUAUUGACUGUACAAAGGUAGCAUAAUAAUUAGUUUUUUAAUUGGAAACUUGUAUGAAAGGAUAAAUGAGAAAUUUUCUUUAUUAAUUUUAAUAUUAAAAUUUUAUUUUUUGGUUAAAAAGCUAAAGUUUUUUUUAGGGACGAUAAGACCCUAUAGAAUUUAAAAUAUAAUUUAAUUUUGAUUUUAUUUAGGUUUAAUUUAUCUAAUUUAAUUAAAUUUUUAAUUGGGGUGAUUAAAAAAUUCAGACUUUUUUUAUUUAGAUCAUUUAUUUAUGUUUUAUUGAUCCUUAAUUUAAGAUUAAAAGAUAAAUUACCUUAGGGAUAACAGCGUGAUUUUAAUGAAAAGUUCAUAUUUAAAUUAAAGUUUGCGACCUCGAUGUUGAAUUAAAAAUAAAUUGUGGUGUAGGGGCUACAAUGUUAAGUCUGUUCGACUUUUAAAAUUUUACA